rnacentral:misc_RNA from 1 species
UAAUAAGUGUUUUAUGGCACUUUUAAAAAUCCAUAUCCACCUUGUGUGAAAUGUCUGUUGCUCUUUUUUAGGAAAGAGCAGCUCAACAUCAACUCAUAUUUGAUCUACUUUGUCUGAAAAAUAUUAUGAAUAAACUAAUUCAAAAUA